rnacentral:rRNA from 1 species
CCUACGAGCGGCAGCAGUGAGGAAUAUUGGUCAAUGGCCGGAAGGCUGAACCAGCCAAGCCGCGUGAAGGACGAAGGUGCCAAGCAUUGUAAACUUCUUUUGUCAAGGGACAAAAUCAGGCUCGAGAGCCUGACCGAGGGUACUUGAAGAACAAGCAUCGGCUAACUCCGUGCCAGCCGCCGCGGUCAUACGGGGGAUGCGAGCGUUAUCCGGAUUUCGUGGGUUUAAAGGGUGCGUAGGCGGGCUGUUAAGUCAGCGGUAAAAGCCCGGGGCGCAACCCCGGCGAGCCGGUGAAACUGGGUGUGGUGAGAGGUCGGGAGGUAUGCGGAAUGCGCGGGGUAGCGGUGAAAGGCUGAGAUAGGGCGCAGAAGUGCGAUGGCGAAGGCAGCAUACCGGCGGCGAUCUGACGCUGAGGCACGAAAGCGGGGGUAGCGAACAGGAGUAGAGACCCGUGUAGUC